AGAACGAUGCUCAGCGGACCAGUUUGUGAAUUCGGAUUGAGCUAAAUGUGAGACUGGUGCGCUUUUUGGUGGAGGAACACGCAAUACAUUCUACGCCGCUUCAACCUGUUUACACCAUGGCAGCAGGCGCAACAAAGUGUUCGCUGCUCCUCUUGUUCUUGAGCAUUCUCUGGGGGACCUGCACUGGAACAAUGGAUGAUUCGACAUCAAUGGCCACUGCAACGGCAACAGCUACAUUUGCUAAGGUUAUGGCAACUAGUUUCAGCGUCAAACUCGUUCUGAAUUCCGCUUCGUUUAUGCCUGCAAAAUAUUGCUUCAAAUUGGACAGGGUUUCCAUUUCUGGUGCCACAGCAAGUUCGGUAAUACAUCCCAUCACUUCAUGUGUUAGUGGCGGGUUGAGUACUGUCAUCAUUCCAUUCAGUUCGCAGGAGGAAGACUCGAUAUACACGGUUCCCAACGCAUAUUUUGAAGAUAGCCAAGGAACAGUGACCACGUUUGCGGGCACUGCCACCGCUACCACUAGCAUUGCAGCUCCAAAAACAGUAACGUCAUUCAGUGUGACACCAACCCCAACUUCUCUGGCAGUAACAUGGACUGCUUUGACUAACAAACAGUGGAAUGCAGCGGGUACUAGAAAGUACGUCGUUUCAUGCCCACCAGCACAAUCAGGAACAACAACGGUACCAGCUACUGGUACCACAGGUCUACUACACACUGGCCGUUUAACUGCAACGGUUUCUCCUCUGACCCAUGCUACAACGUACACAUGCACUGUAACAGCCACUACAACCUACGCAUCAGGCAUCAGUUACUCGAGCAAGGCUACUUUUUCGGGCACUACCACUGAAGAAAGUAAGUACACAUGGUGGCCUUUAGUUUGGUACAGGCCAUUACAGAAUGUUGUGUGUGUUGUGCCUUACUGUA